CGGAAAAGUAAGACUAUGUGAAGUGAACCCUCCUUCAAAUUGGAGAAGGAAGCUUUGAGAUUUCCAGGGAAGAUGGAAGACAGAACAGCUUGAGCCAUUUGGGUGCGGUGUAGAACUGGAAAUUGUGUCAAGGUUGACUGAGCCCUGUUUCUGGUCUAAGAAAGUUAAAACUUGUAUUCAAAAUGGAUAUCAAGACAACAUAAAAUGAAAUGACUGAUUUUGAAGAUUGAGAAUUAGGAAUAUUGUACAGAUGCUGUCAUUCCUACAUGAAGGAGGCAGAAGAAUGUAGCAAGCUCAGCUCUCUAAUGCCAGGAGUGGCACUUUCAGUGACCAGAGCUC